GACGAACGCUGGCGGCGUGCCUAAUACAUGCAAGUAGAACGCUGAAGAGAGGAGCUUGCUCUUCUUGGAUGAGUUGCGAACGGGUGAGUAACGCGUAGGUAACCUGCCUUGUAGCGGGGGAUAACUAUUGGAAACGAUAGCUAAUACCGCAUAACAAUGGAUGACACAUGUCAUUUAUUUGAAAGGGGCAAUUGCUCCACUACAAGAUGGACCUGCGUUGUAUUAGCUAGUAGGUGAGGUAAUGGCUCACCUAGGCGACGAUACAUAGCCGACCUGAGAGGGUGAUCGGCCACACUGGGACUGAGACACGGCCCAGACUCCUACGGGAGGCAGCAGUAGGGAAUCUUCGGGCAAUGGGGGCAACCCUGACCGAGCAACGCCGCGUGAGGGAAGACGGGUUUUCGGGAUUGUAAACCUCUGUUCUAAGUGACGAAGAAUGACGGUAGC
rnacentral:rRNA from 1 species